UACGAAGGGAGCUAGCGUUGUUCGGAAUCACUGGGCGUAAAGCGCACGUAGGCGGAUGUGUCAGUCAGGGGUGAAAUCCCGGAGCUCAACUUUGGAACUGCCCUUGAUACAGCACGUCUUGAGUCCGGAAGAGGUGGGUGGAAUUCCUAGUGUAGAGGUGAAAUUCGUAGAUAUUAGGAAGAACACCAGUGGCGAAGGCGGCUCACUGGUCCAUUACUGACGCUGAGGUGCGAAAGCGUGGGGAGCAAACAGG
rnacentral:rRNA from 1 species